rnacentral:misc_RNA from 1 species
UAGGCAGAGCGGGCCCAUGGCA